UACGUAGGAUGCAAGCGUUGUUCGGAAUUACUGGGCGUAAAGAGUACGUAGGCGGUUUGAUAAGUCUGAUAUUAAAGACUGGGGCUCAACCUCAGGAGUGUAUUGGAAACUGUCAGACUAGAGGAUAAUAGAGGAAGUUGGAAUUCUCAGUGUAGCGGUGAAAUGCGUAGAUAUUGGGAAGAACACCAGUGGCGAAAGCGGACUUCUGGGUUAUUACUGACGCUGAGGUACGAAAGCGUGGGGAGCAAACGGG
rnacentral:rRNA from 1 species